ACAUAACGUUCUUUGUUUCGAGUUUAUUACAACCAAUGCGCGAUGUUUUAUAAUGCACUUUAAUGUUAUAUUAUGUAACAUUUACGUCAAUUUGCCUAAAUAUAUGGUGAGAAAAAUAUCAUCUUACGUACUUUCGCUGGCAUUUAUUACUCACUUUAUGAAACUAAGUUCAUAGUAUCCCUAGACUCGUUUGCUACUUGCUUUGUAUUAAUAUGACCUUAAGAAAUUGACAAUACUGGUUUCUAGCGGACUUGAGUGCGAAUCCUUUGAGGUUUCAUCUGUCUUCACAAUUGAGCUAAAAUUAAUUAAACAUAUCUUAAUGGACCUAAUUUCAGUCUCGGGAGGUGUGAUAUUUUGCAAGGGCUCGAAAGGUUACAUCCAGUGUCCUCCUGGCCAGAAGAUAGCCGUUCGUAGCGCUAACUACGGAAGGACACACAGUGGGGUUAUCUGUCCCCAUCGCGCCACAUCCAACCGAAACUGCCGCACAUCUGGCUCCUUCAGCAAAAUCAGGAAUUCUUGCAACAAUAGACAGCGAUGCUACUUGGCGGCAAACAAUAGAGUGUAUGGCGAUCCUUGCGUUGGAACGUACAAAUACAUUGAAGUGAGGUUCUCCUGUGUGCGGGGAUAAAACAGCCGGACGAAGAUAUAUGUGACACAUGUGUUGUUUCAGUGCGUCAUCGUGAUAUAAGCAAUGCUUAGACUGAUAUGUCAAUGAAAAAUGCCACUUUGCCUUCUAUGAAGACGACAGUAGACUUUCUAAGAGAUAUAAAAAGAAA